GACGAACGCUGGCGGCGUGCCUAAUACAUGCAAGUAGAACGCACAGGAUGCACCGUAGUUUACUACACCGUAUUCUGUGAGUUGCGAACGGGUGAGUAACGCGUAGGUAACCUGCCUGGUAGCGGGGGAUAACUAUUGGAAACGAUAGCUAAUACCGCAUAAGAACAUUUACUGCAUGGUAGAUGUUUAAAAGGUGCAAAUCCAUCACUACCAGAUGGACCUGCGUUGUAUUAGCUAGUAGGUGAGGUAACGGCUCACCUAGGCGACGAUACAUAGCCGACCUGAGAGGGUGAUCGGCCACACUGGGACUGAGACACGGCCCAGACUCCUACGGGAGGCAGCAGUAGGGAAUCUUCGGCAAUGGGGGGAACCCUGACCGAGCAACGCCGCGUGAGUGAAGAAGGUUUUCGGAUCGUAAAGCUCUGUUGUUAAGGAAGAACGAGUGUGAGAAUGGAAAGUUCAUACUGUGACGGUACUUAACCAGAAAGAGACGGCUAACUACGUG
rnacentral:rRNA from 1 species